CGGUUGAUCCUGCCGGAGGCCACCGCUAUUGGAUUGCGCUUAAGCCAUGCGAGUCGAGAGACUUCGGGUCUCGGCGAACUGCUCAGUAACACGUGGAUAAUCUGCCCUAAGGUGGGGGAUAACCUCGGGAAACUGAGAAUAAUACCCCAUAGACUGGAGAUGCUGGAACGCACCCCAGUUGAAACGGGCUUUACCGCCUUAGGAUGAGUCUGCGGCCUAUCAGGUUGUAGUGGGUGUAAAGUACCUACUAGCCUUCGACGGGUACGGGCCUUGGGAGAGGUUGCCCGGAGAUGGAUUCUGAGACAUGAAUCCAGGCCCUACGGGGCGCAGCAGGCGCGAAAACUUCACAAUGCGGGAAACCGCGAUGAGGGGAAUCCAAGUGCGUGCGCAAAGCGUACGCUUUUCUUAUGCCUAGAUAGCAUUGGAAAUAAGGGCUGGGUAAGACCGGUGCCAGCCGCCGCGGUAACACCGGCAGCCCGAGUGGUGGUCUUUUUUAUUGGGCCUAAAGCGUCCGUAGCCUGCUCGGUAAGUCCUUGGGUAAAUCAUCUGGCUCAACCAAAUGAAUUCCGAGGAUACUGCCGGGCUUGGGACUGGGAGAGGCUAGAGGUACUCAUGGGGUAGGGGUAAAAUCCAAUAAUCCUGUGGGGACCACCAGUGGCGAAGGCGUCUAGCUAGAACGGCUCCGACGGUCAGGGACGAAGCCCAGGGGCACAAACCGGAUUAGAUACCCGGGUAGUCCUGGGUGUAAACGCUGCGGGCUUGGUGUU
rnacentral:rRNA from 1 species